rnacentral:rRNA from 1 species
AGUGAACGCUGGCGGUAGGCCUAACACAUGCAAGUCGAACGGCAGCACAGUAAGAGCUUGCUCUUACGGGUGGCGAGUGGCGGACGGGUGAGGAAUACAUCGGAAUCUACUUUUUCGUGGGGGAUAACGUAGGGAAACUUACGCUAAUACCGCAUACGCCCUACGGGUGAAAGCAGGGGAUCUUCGGACCUUGCGCGAUUGAAUGAGCCGAUGUCGGAUUAGCUAGUUGGCGGGGUAAAGGCCCACCAAGGCGACGAUCCGUAGCUGGUCUGAGAGGAUGAUCGGCCACACUGGAACUGAGACACGGUCCAGACUCCUACGGGAGGCAGCAGUGGGGAAUAUUGGACAAUGGGCGCAAGCCUGAUCCAGCCAUACCGCGUGGGUGAAGAAGGCCUUCGGGUUGUAAAGCCCUUUUGUUGGGAAAGAAAAGCAGCAGGUUAAUACCCCGCUGUUCUGACGGUACCCAAAGAAUAAGCACCGGCUAACUUCGUG